rnacentral:rRNA from 1 species
AGAAGUGCUUACCUGCACUGGACCAUGUAUAAGUCUCCUGGAAUGGAGCAUCACAGAGGGUGAGAAUCCCGUCUUUGACAUGGGCUGCCAGUGUGUUGUGGUGUGCUCUCAAAGAGUCGAGUUGUUUGGGAAUGCAGCUCUAAAUGGGUGGUAAACUCCAUCUAAAGCUAAAUAUUGGCGAGAGACCGAUAGCGAACAAGUACCGUGAGGGAAAGAUGAAAAGGACUUUGGAAAGAGAGUUAAACAGUACGUGAAAUUGUUGAAAGGGAAACGCUUGAAGUCAGUUGUGUCAGUUAGGGAUCAGCCUGGCUUGCUGGGUGAACUUCCUAGUCUGACAGGCCAACAUCAGUUCUGACUGCUAGAAAAGAGCAGAGGGAAUGUGGCACCUUUGGGUGUGUUAUAGCCUUUUGUCAUAUGUGGCAGUUGGGACUGAGGGAUGCAGCGUGCCUCACGGCUGGGUUUCGACCACAUUUGCGCUUAGGAUGUUGGCUUUUUUUUUUUA